rnacentral:lncRNA from 1 species
UUUGAGGCAAAGGAGCGCAAGGGUUUCUACUCAACGCUCGCGCAGUGUAAUGCAUCUUCAAGGGCUAUUUGAAACCGCCGUCGCUCACCAUCUCACUGGGUCCGGUGCACAGGCUCGGUGGUCUCGCGGCUGCUGGAGCUAGGCCACACCGUGCACGGCACCUGCCGCGACCCCUCGCGCACCAACACGGUCGCCCACCUCUUAUCCCUGCCCGGUGCGGCGGAGCGCCUGAAGCUGUUCAAAGCCGACCUGCUGUCGGAGGGCAGGUGCGGGAGGGGAGGGAGGGUGUAAUCAGCGUUCAAGAGUUCACAGCGGAUCCAUCAACCGGCGGGCGGGGGGCAGGCAACUUGGCCGCGCAGCACAUUGCGUGUUAGGGUUUGCGUUGGCUCCGACAUGCCGCUGCUGCUACUGCUGCUGCCGCCUGGAACACUAUAGUAUGGACGUGGACAAACCGCCUGCCGUGAUGUCCUGCGUGUUGCAGCUAUGACGAGGCUGUGUCGGGCUGUGACUACGUCAUCCACACCGCCUCGCCCUACACCAUGAAUGUACCCGCGGCGGAGGUCCAGGCCAAGCUGUUGGACCCAGCGGUGAAGGGAACAGAACACGUCCUGUGUGAGUGCCGGUACCGUGGCGGGCUCUCAAUCUCCCUGUCAGGGCGCCUGCUGUUGUGCGAAUGCCGCCUGCGGCUCAAGUCGUAGACAGCUCCCAAGUCAUGACGCUGCGGCGCAAGUACGUGCCACCCUCCGCUGCUGCAACACCGUAGGCGCCGCCAGCAAAUCUCCCUCCGUCAAGCGGGUGGUGCUGACGUCAUCGUGCGCCGCCAUCUACGGCGACCCGCACGAGUUCGGCAAGGACCACGUGUACACCGAGGCUGACUGGUGCGUGUGUGUGUGUGUGCGCGUGUAUGUGUGUGUGUGCGUGUGUGUCUCUGUACGGGCGUCGGUGGGCUGGUGCAUAGCGCUGCGGGCUGGCUUCCCUGGCGUGUUGCUUGCAUGCACGGACACCGCCGCAUGACCAUGCCAAACGCAUCUGCUUGUGAACAUGCCCUGGCCCGGGCAUACACAGGAACCCUACCGCGACCAAACAGGUCCUCCCAUACUACUACAGGUAUGCUGUGUCGGCUGCGCAGUUUGUGUGGUUGCGCGCAUGUCUGAGUUCUAGAACAAGCCGAAAUUUUAUGUAUGCCGUACUGUGACCCACCCACCUGCCUGCCUGCCCGCUUGUCGUGCCUGCUGCCUGCCCACCUGCCUCUCCCCCACAGCAAGAAGCUGGCUGAGGAGCGGGCGUGGGAGAUGGCCAAGGCGCAGAGCCAGUAAGUGUGUGGCGGCGGCGGGCCACGUACAGCGCCCCAGCCUGUCCUGCGUACCAGCGGACCUUGAAGCAGCAACCCCCGGCCGCUCUUCGGCAGCUCGUCAUGUGCCGCCUCUCACCUCACCCCACCUGUCGCCUCCGUACGUGUGCAGGUGGAAGCUGGUGGUGAUCAACCCCGCCGUCAUCCUGGGGCCGCCGCUCAGCAAGCGCACAGACAGCGAGUCGGUGGGUGACAGAGUAGGGGUGGUAAGGCCACUUGGGUCGGAGGCGCCAGGGAGCCUUGUAUGAGAAUAAUAGUCAAGCCACAAUGCCAGCACAGCCACUUGCUUCUCCGAUUCGCAUCGGUCGACCCGGCCUUGAAACCAAACGCCGCAGAUCAACCUAAUAAACACCUUCCUGAAAGGCAAGGCCUACCCCGCCUGCCCGCACAUGGGCUUUGGCACCGUGGACGUGCGCGACGUGGCCGCGGCACACACCCUGGCCAUGAGCCACCCCAAGGCCGAGGGCAGGUACGGGCUGAGGGCGGGGUUGGGGUGGGGGUUGCAAAUACGUGGGCGGUGGGGGUGGGGGUGGGGGCUGCUCCUACCCGUUCCAGGUAGAAACAUGCCACGCUGAAGCACAGCCCAUGGGGGCUGCUACCUUGCAUCAUGUGGCCGCUCACCAACAUCGCCAUUGUGCCUUUGCCCGUCUUUGCCCACCUGCUUAUACGAAACAAGCCGCAUACCGCCGCGGUGGGGCUCUGGCGGGUUGAGGCUUGGCUAGGACUCACUGUGCGCGGGGUCACACGGACUUUGCCCGCGGGAGGGUUUGCAGCAAAGUCGGGGUUGGUGGAGUCAAGUUGGGCCCUGAUAGCAUGUGAUGGCUCGGCGUCUUCGGGUGCUGGGACUGUCCCCUCUGUAACAUCCGCAUUCAUACCGUAAUAGCUCCCUCCACCCGCCACCCGCCACCCCGACUGGGAAGGACUGCCCCGCCCCCUGCCACGUGCUCCACAGGUACAUCACGGUAUCCAAAUCCAUGUGGUUUGCGGAAAUGGCACGUGCCAUCAAGGCCGGCUUCCCCGACUCGAAAUUCCGGCCCCCCGUCACCACUGCACCCAAGUGGUUGCUGGCGGUGAUUGGGCCGGCGGUGGGCCUGUCGCGUGACCUGAUCAAGUGAGGAUAAUGACCAGGCGCUGACAUCAGCAGGGGGCAUGUUGUUUGGGCCACCAUAAUAGCCCAGCUGCCGUGCUCCUCGGCGGCUUCUUGUGGGUUUGGGCUUCGGGGCCCUAACUGUGCGCCCACAUGAGUGUCCUACGGCAGUGCUGUACCUUACUUCACGCUUCAUGACAUGGGCCCUCACAGUUACGCGGUCGGGAAAUGUCCCCAGUUCAACAACAGCAAGAUCCAGUCGGAGCUUGGAUUUAAAUUCCACUCGCCCGAGGCGGCCAUCAAGGACCAGGUGGAUGCGAUGCUGGCGCUGGGCAUCGCAAAGCCGUUCUGAGGUGGUGGAGACACGAGCAGCACAGCUGCGGGUGCGGGUGACAGGGACGCCGGUAGGAGGACUUGAUGGCUAGCCAGAGGUUGCUGAAGAGUUUCCGUAGGGUCUGUGAAGGGGAGGGAGCAGGAGCGGUAUUCCGGUAUGCUUGCUUUCUGGCAGAGGGGGCUUCGGAGGAGAAAUGCUGGGGAUGAUGGCACAUAUACAGUAGAAACUCAUACAUACUCGCUCAGUGGUAUACCGUGUAUAUGUAGGGCAACACGCAUUGGAGAGGGAGGUCGCUGGAGCGAUGGCUUCAGCAGGUCCCUGUUGCAACCAAAGCAACCCGAUCGGCGCCCGGUGUUGGAUGCAUCAGAGGCUGCAGGCUGCUGCGCAUUCAAUACACACGGCUGUGUUUCACAUGAUAAAGGGUAAGGAGGGCUUGCAGACAGGAAAUUUUGGUCAACGAAUAAUUCGGUGAAAAGCUGACCGGUUUACCAGUUAACUGGAUUGAGAACCCCGAACGGGCGCUUUGUGCCAUCAUAUUUAUAUAUGGUAUACCAAUAUCUUAGUCACACGCAUUAAAAAACCUACUAAAAAUGCUCGCUACCAAAGGAAUGUCCCAGCUUGCGUUCCAGCCGGCCUACACUGCCGAGAAGGCGCUGCGGCCAGCAAAGGUCUGCGUCACUGGAGUGACCGGCUUUGUUGCAGGUGAGGUUACUUGCAAGGCGAGGGCGUGCCAGGGUCUCCAUUUAAUGCGCGCGCGCAACGUGAUGGAUGGCCAGGAAAGGCCCGAGCCUCUGGGAGCCGCCGGGAUUGCUCACCAUCGCACUGGUCCCUGUGCACAGGCUCGGUGGUCUCGCGGCUGCUGGAGCUAGGCCACACCGUGCACGGAACCUGCCGCGACCCCGCGCGCACCGACACAGUUGUGCACCUCACAUCCCUGCCCGCCGCGGCGGAGCGCCUGAAGCUGUUCAAAGCCGACCUGCUGUCGGAGGGCAGGUGCGGGAGGGGAGGGAGGGGCGCGGGCGAGAGGGCAGGUGUGGGAGAGGAGGGAGGGGCGCGGGCGAGAGGGCACGUGCGGGAGGGGAGGGAGGGGCGCGGGAGGGAGGGCAGGUGCGGGAGAGGAGGGAGGGGCGUGGGCGGGAGGGCACGCAUGCGUAGGCAAGAGUGGAGGCAGGGUUGUGAAGUGUGCUUCCAGCGGCUGGCGGGGAAGUGGGGAUCCGUAUUGGGAGGUCAGCAGGCCGCACACAAAUCGCGGACAGUAAAGCUAGUGCGAGUGGCGGCCAUACAUGAUGCUUUUGUCUAGCAUGGCUGGCCUCCUCAUCACUUUGUGCUCAUGCGUGCAGCUUUGAUGAGCCUGUCGAAGGCUGUGACUACAUUAUCCACACCGCCUCGCCCUACAUCGUCAAUGUGGCCCCCUCGGAAGUGCGAUCAAAGCUGCUCGAGCCGGCGGUGAAGGGCACCGAGCACGUGCUGAGUGAGUGGACCAUGGGGCUCCACUACGGAGGAAAGUGGUGUCUGCUCAUGUUCAGCGAAACUGCUCUCAGGAACGGGCAGACUAUAGAAGUGAGGCCUGUAUAGGGGCACGCAGAGCUGCAUGCCUGGGGUCACGGCCGCCUGCCUUCAUCGGCCACCAAACCCUUGUUCCUGUGCGCAUCACUGCUUCACCAUCACGCUAGGCGCCGCCAGCAAGUCUCCCUCCGUCAAGCGGGUGGUGCUGACGUCAUCGUGCGCCGCCAUCUACGGCAACCCGCACGUGUUCGGCAAGGAGCACGUGUACACCGAGGCUGACUGGUGGGGCUAACUAAUGCCGCUAGCUGGGGCGUUGGGCGGGGAAUAAUGCAGGCGAACGGGGGGCGUGCAGGCGGGCGGGAGGCGGUAGAAGUGACAACGCCUGCACGCGUGGCUCAGGCAGUGACAUGCGCCCACACACCCGUCCUCGUUGCAGGAACGCGACCUCCACCGACAAGGUGCUGACCUACUCAUACAGGUGCGUGGGUGCUACGUGUGCAGGGGAGCGUAUGGCGUGCAGCUGUGCAUGCGGCUAGCUUGUGACUUGCUCCAUGCUUCAUUUGCCAGUGCUAGCCCCAUCUCAAUGGUACCUUUACUCUGCUGUCCAGCACACCAUGUUUUGCCUCUCCCCCACAGCAAGAAGCUGGCUGAGGAGCGGGCGUGGGAGAUGGCCAAGGCGCAGAGCCAGUGAGUGUGUGGCGGCGGCGGGCCGCGUACAGCGCCCCAGCCAGUCCUGCCUACCCGCGGGCCUUGAACCAGCAGCAACCACUGGCUGCCAUGCGGCAGCUCAUCAUUUGCCGCCUCUCACUUCACGCACCUCACCCCACCUAUCUGUCGCCGCCUCUCACCUCACCUCACCUGUCGCCUCCGUACGUGUGCAGGUGGAAGCUGGUGGUGAUCAACCCCGCCGUCAUCCUGGGGCCGCCGCUCAGCAAGCGCACUGACAGCGAGUCGGUGGGUGACAGUGUGACAGUGUCGGACCGGGGUUGUGCUUCGUCGUCUUCGGGUGGGGCUGUGGUCGGGGAGCCUGGCAUUACCAGUAGAAGCGGCGUGCAUGCUUAAGGAAUUUGCACACACGCAUGCUGAUGCCGAUCUUCAUCGCGUGGCCACUUCCUGGCAUCAUGCAGGUGUCCAUCAUCAACCAGAUCCUGAAGGGCCAGAUGUACCCGGCCGCCCCGCACAUGGGCUUUGGCACCGUGGACGUGCGCGACGUGGCCGCGGCACACACCCUGGCCAUGAGCCACCCCAAGGCCGAGGGCAGGUGCGGGCUGAGGGCGGGGUUGGGGUGGGGGCUGCGGCCUGAGCACAAAAAAUACACGCAUGCAUGGUGGCAAGCAACGCAUAUUCUGUAUCGAUGGUGCAUGUCAGUGAAUGGCGACACAGAACAUUUCACGGCAUAUGUGGCACAUCACACGCAUCACACCACACCCGCAUCACACCACACCCGCACCCACACCGUGUGUGUUUCAUCAGGUACAUCACUGUGGCCAAGUCACUGUGGGUGGCGGACUUUGCCCGCGCCGUGAAGGUCGGCUUCCCUGACUCCCGUAUGCGCCCGCCCAUCGCCACCAUCCCCAAGUGGCUGCUGUGGCUGAUUGGGCCCAUGGCAGGCAUGAGCCGCGACAUCGUCACGUGAGUGCGGGUCGGUGUCAGGGGCCGCGAAGGGGAUAACAGAGCCUAAGAGCCGUUACGCACGGGGGCGAAAGGCGCAUUCUGCUGCAAGCGGCGGCACGGCAUGCUUCAGCACCGCACUGCGUUGGGCAGUUGGGGCCCUCGGUCCCUCAUUUAGUCUGUCACCUCCGUCCCUUCUUGAGUCCCUCACCUUGUGCUGUGCUUCGUUCCUGCCCCCACGGCCAACACACAAAUCCCUCUUGCUUCCCUCCGCAGCCAUUCCGUGAACAUGUGCCCCCAGUUCAACAACAGCAAGAUCCAGUCGGAGCUCGGAUUUAAGUUCCACUCACCUGAGGCGGCCAUCAAGGACCAGGUGAACGCCAUGCUGGCACUGGGCAUCGCAAAGCCGUUCUGAGGUGGUGGAGACACGAGCAGCACAGAGUCUGCUAAGGAGCUUCCGUGGGGUCUGUGAAGGGUUUCACUAACCACAGGGGAGGGAGCAGGCAGGAGCGGUAAUCCGGUAUGUUUGCUUUCAGGCGGAGGGGGCUUUGGAUUAGAAAUGCCGGGGAUGAUGGCUUAUAGCGUACGCUCAUGUUCGAUAUCCAGUAGACACUCAUACAUACUCGCUCAGUGGUUUGCUGUAUAAGAUGUGGGGCAAAACGAAGUGAAGAGUGUCCCAGGGUUUCGUGCCGAGGGCGUGCCACCCACAAAAAGACAGGUCACGCGAGCGUGGCGAGGGCGUUUAGACUAGAGGAGCGUGUCAAGGAGUGCCGACCUGGGAUGCUGUGGUGACGUGCAGGGAUGUACGUAUAUUUAAGCCGACCGCUCAAACUAUGGCUGGUAUGCAUAUGCGUGCCACACGCUGUUGCAUGGUGCCACUGUAACCCAUGCGACAUCGGCUGCUGCCGAACACCCGACACCGCUUCUGUUUGCGUCACAGGUGGUUUGUAUGAGGUGCAGCACUCUCUUCAGCUAUUGGCGACGGGUUCGGAUGCAGGUCAGCACAUCAAUCAGGGAUGUAAAAUUUGGCGGGCGGAGCCUUGGUGAACCAUCGGCGCGCCUGCCACUGCUGCAAUUAUGAUACACAUGGCUGUAAUGUACGUGACCAGGAGUAAGGGGGCCCGAAGACUGGAGGUUUCGGUAAACGAGUAAUUCGGUGAAAGGCUGACCGGGUUACCAGUUAACAGGAUUGAGAGCCCCGAACGGGCGCUGUGCUGCGCUGUGUGCCAUCAACUACAUAGUCACUGAACACCGUUGAUAACCCACACUCUCAUAUACUCUCUCCUUGACUUGAUUGUAAAAUGUCCCAACUUGCGUUCCAGCCGGCCUACGAUGCCGAGAAGGCGCUGCAGCCAGCAAAGGUCUGCGUCACUGGAGUGACCGGCUUUGUAGCAGGUAAGGUUAUGUUUGAGGCAAAGGAGCGCAAGGGUUUCUACUCAACGCUCGCGCAGUGUAAUGCAUCUUUAGAUGCUAUUUGAAACCGCCGUCGCUCACCAUCUCACUGGGCCCUGUGCACAGGCUCGGUGGUCUCGCGGCUGCUGGAGCUAGGCCACACCGUGCACGGCACCUGCCGCGACCCCUCGCGUACCGACACGGUCGCCCACCUCUUAUCCCUACCCGGCGCGGCGGAGCGCCUGAAGCUGUUCAAAGCCGACCUGCUGUCGGAGGGCAGGUGCGGGAGGGAGGGUCAGCGCGGGAGGGAGGACAAAUUUCGGCGGGCGGGGAAUCGAAUUGGGAGCUAAUGCACGUCGCACACAACUCGUGCCGACCCAUGGCUGGACAGAAGCAAGCCGGGGCACCCGUAUUGGCAGGCCCUAGACAGCAGUGAUUGGCUGUGAGCUGUUUGUGCUUGCUCUCUGGUAAAACUGGCCUCCUCACCCACCGCAUUUGUGCACAUGCA